UAGGGAAUCUUCGGCAAUGGGCGAAAGCCUGACCGAGCGACGCCGCGUGGGGGAUGAAGGCCUUCGGGUCGUAAACCCCUGUCCUUGGGGACGAAGUGCUGACGGUACCCAAGGAGGAAGCCCCGGCUAACUACGUGCCAGCAGCCGCGGUAAAACGUAGGGGGCGAGCGUUGUCCGGAAUCACUGGGCGUAAAGGGUGCGUAGGCGGCCGCUUAAGUCCUGUGUGAAAGGCUCCGGCUUAACCGGAGACGGCCAUGGGAAACUGGGCGGCUUGAGUGCCGGAGAGGGUGGCGGAAUUCCCGGUGUAGCGGUGAAAUGCGUAGAGAUCGGGAGGAACACCAGUGGCGAAGGCGGCCACCUGGACGGUAACUGACGCUGAGGCACGACAGCUGGGGGAGCAAACAGGAUUAGAUACCC
rnacentral:rRNA from 1 species